rnacentral:rRNA from 1 species
GCUUACGGCCACACCUCCCUGAGCACGCCCGAUCUCGUCUGAUCUCGGAAGCUAAGCAGGGACUGGCCCAGGUUAGUACUUGGAUGGGAGAUCGCCUGGGAAUACCAGGUGCUGUAAGCC